rnacentral:rRNA from 1 species
GCUUGUCUCAAAGAUUAAGCCAUGCAUGUCUCAGUAUAAGCUUCUAUACGGCGAAACUGCGAAUGGCUCAUUAAAACAGUUAUAGUUUAUUUGGUGGUCAACUCUUACAUGGAUAACCGUGGUAAUUCUAGAGCUAAUACAUGCGCCCAAACCCAACUUCUUGGAAGGGUUGUGUUUAUUAGAUACAGAACCAAUGCGGGGCAACCCGGAUUCUGGUGAUUCAUAAUAAUUAUCGGAUCGAUCGUAUGAUCGAUGCAUCAUUCAAGUUUCUGCCCUAUCAGCUUUGGAUGGUAGGGUAUUGGCCUACCAUGGCAUUAACGGGUAACGGAGAAUUAGGGUUCGAUUCCGGAGAGGGAGCCUGAGAAAUGGCUACCACAUCCAAGGAAGGCAGCAGG